rnacentral:rRNA from 1 species
UACGUAGGGGGCAAGCGUUGUCCGGAUUUAUUGGGCGUAAAGAGCGUGUAGGCGGCCAGGUAGGUCUGCUGUGAAAACUCGAGGCUCAACCUCGAGACGUCGGCGGAAACCAUCUGGCUAGAGUCCGGAAGAGGAGAGUGGAAUUCCCGGUGUAGCGGUGAAAUGCGCAGAUAUCGGGAAGAACACCCGUGGCGAAGGCGGCUCUCUGGGACGGUACUGACGCUGAGACGCGAAAGCGUGGGGAGCGAACAGG